rnacentral:rRNA from 1 species
AGCGAACGCUGGCGGCAGGCUUAACACAUGCAAGUCGAGCGGGCAUCUUCGGAUGUCAGCGGCAGACGGGUGAGUAACACGUGGGAACGUACCCUUCGGUUCGGAACAACUCUGGGAAACUGGAGCUAAUACCGGAUACGCCCUUAUGGGGAAAGGUUUACUGCCGAAGGAUCGGCCCGCUUCGGAUUAGCUAGUUGGUGGGGUAACGGCCUACCAAGGCGACGAUCAGUAGCUGGUCUGAGAGGAUGAUCAGCCACACUGGGACUGAGACACGGCCCAGACUCCUACGGGAGGCAGCAGUGGGGAAUAUAGGAAAAUGGGCGCAAGCCUGAUCCAGCCAGGCCGCGUGAGUGAUGAAGGCCUUAGGGUUGUAAAGCUCUUUUGUCCGGGACGAUAAUGACGGUACCGGAAGAAUAAGCCCCGGCUAACUUCGUG